CCGAGUGAGGGUCCCUUGCGGGCCCAACCUCCCACCCGUGUUUAACUGUACCGUGUUGCUUCGGCGGGCCCACUGGGGGCCCCCUGGUCGCCUGGGGGCGUGAAACCCCCCGGGCCCGCGCCCGCCGGAGACCCCAUUGAACCCUGAGUGAAUCGAGUGUCAGUCUGAGUGUGAUUUUUAAUCAUUA
rnacentral:misc_RNA from 1 species